rnacentral:misc_RNA from 1 species
GUGAAUCAUCAAAUUUUUGAACGCAAAUUGCGCCUUUUUCGGUAGGCAUGUCUGUUUGAGGGCCACAUUUAACAAAUAAUGUGCAGCGUUUUUUGUUGCACACGUUGAUGAGCUUUUCAAGAUUUGUAAAUUUUUGGUGGCGCUUAAUGAACAGCGUGAAAGGAUUUUUAAGUUUGAGCGCAGUAAA